GACGGAAGGUGCAAGCGUUGCUCGGAAUCACUGGGCGUAAAGGGUGCGUAGGCGGCUUGGUAAGUUGGGUGUGAAAGCCCCGGGCUCAGCCCGGGAAGGGCACUCGAAACUGCCGAGCUGGAGUGCCGGAGGGGAGAGUGGAAUUCCUGGUGUAGCGGUGAAAUGCGUAGAUAUCAGGAGGAACACCGGUGGCGAAGGCGGUUCUCUGGGCAUUACCUGACGCUGAGGAGCGAAAGUGUGGGGAGCGAACAGG
rnacentral:rRNA from 1 species